CGCCCAUAGAUUGGAAAUGACUACUUCAGAGUGAUGUCCAGUUAGAAGCUAGCUGAAAAGUUCGUAGCCAGUCGUGGGCAGUUCAGGCUAUGCUGUAGUGAAAGGAGUGCUGCUUGCAAGGAAAGUACUCGUUUUAGUCAGUAAGUAUAUUCUCCUGCUGAAAAGGUCAUCUGAUUAGGAGUUACAUACAUUAUUGUAGUGGUAAUAUAUGAUCUUACAACAGGACGUCCAGUUAGCUGGGCAGGAGCUCUGUGCAGUUCGUAGGCUGAAGUGAAACGAGUAGCCUACUGCUCGCGUCAAUGAAAAUAUGUUUGUGUCAGUAGGUCUGAUGUACUCGUGUAACUACUAUCCUGCUGAUUAAGUCAUCUGAUUAUUGAGAUUUUUACCUUCUUUCCAUGUAGUAAUGUAUGAUCUUACAACGGGACGUCCAGUUAACUGGGCAGGAGCUCUGUGCAGUUUGUAGCCUAUGGCUGAAGUGAAACGAGGUCAACGAAAAUAUUACUAGGCCAAUUUGUGUCAAUUCAAAAACACUUAUCUUUUUAUUUACAUAGUACAAUGGAGUAGAGUACAAUAAUCAAAAAUCCUAUAAACAUCACUGUUUAAAAUACAGUAGGUACAGUCAGUAGGUCUAAUGUAAUCUUGUAACUAUCCUGCUAACAUCUGAUUGAGAUUAUUACCUUCUUUCCAUGUAGCCUAAUAUGUGAUCUUACAACUCUGGUAACUAAAACUGGAGACAUUUGCUACUUUGUGCUACCUGCUCAUUCAAAAUUACGAAAUAACAGCAGGGAAAUUAUGUUUGUUUUUACAGGUUAUUAAAAGAAUGACCCAGGUUCCUGAGGAGCUGACCUGAAUGACCAUCAUGGCCUCGAUCCGUUGUGCCUCUAUAUUCUUUGCAAAAUGCAAUGAAUAUUUACAGAGCUGACCAUGGCCGUUUGAGAAUCAGAGGAAUGGAAAGGCAAUGAAGUGACUUGGCCUACAGGUCUUUUGUGAGCAGGAGCUGGGGUUUCCUUAGAAGAAGCGUCCGUGUCAUGAUCCCCUCGUGUGUGGUGCUACGCAUAUGGAGGGAGCUUCCGGAUACUUCAGGGCAGUACGUUGGAUUCAGACCCCUUUUCGACUGAACGCAUGUUCAGCAACAGCAUCCUCCAUGGAAGGUCUGUCAAGCUGAGCACACAAGUCCUGGGGCACAGGAAUCCGCUGGACGGCAUCCCAAUAAGGAAGAGGGUCUUUGAUCUCGAAGAGGACAAGAAAGAGGACUUAUAUUGGAUAAUGUAAUACAGUGCAUUGUAGGCUGUAUACUGUACAAUAAACAAAUUGUAUGGCCCUGAACAUUGUGCUUUGUUUACAGUACUGAUGAUGAUUUCGACACCAGUAGCAUCAGGUCUAAGACAGCCUGUUGUGUGUGAAUCGAUAAGUUCUUUUUAGU